GAAUUUCUGCUGCAUCGUUUUUCUUUGCUUGACAGUUGGAUUUUGUUACGGGUUAGUUGGGUUUCAUUUUUCGUUUCCCGACGUUUACUUUGAGAAAAUUAGAGUGCUUCAAGCAGGCUUUUGCCUUGAAUACUUUAGCAUGGAAUAAUGGAGUAGGACUUUGGUUCUAUUUUGUUGGUUUUAGGAGCCAGAGUAAUGGUUAAUAGGAACAGUUGGGGGCAUUCGUAUUUGACUGUCAGAGGUGAAAUUCUUAGAUUUGUCAAAGACGAACUACUGCGAAAGCAUUUGCCAAGGAUGUUUUCAUUAAUCAAGAACGAAAGUUAGGGGAUCGAAGACGAUCAGAUACCGUCGUAGUCCUAACUAUAAACGAUGCCGACUAGAGAUUG
rnacentral:rRNA from 1 species